rnacentral:rRNA from 1 species
UACGGGGGGGGGCAAGCGUUGUUCGGAAUUACUGGGCGUAAAGGGCUCGUAGGCGGCCAACUAAGUCAGACGUGAAAUCCCUCGGCUUAACCGGGGAACUGCGUCUGAUACUGGAUGGCUUGAGUUUGGGAGAGGGAUGCGGAAUUCCAGGUGUAGCGGUGAAAUGCGUAGAUAUCUGGAGGAACACCGGUGGCGAAGGCGGCGUUCUGGACUGUAACUGACACCAAUGAAAAACCGGAAGACCAAGGGAGGUCAAACGGACUUAGUAGUCACCCUUGACAGUCCAGAC